AACGUAGGAGACAAACGUUAUCCGGAGUUACUGGGCGUAAAGGGCGUGUAGGUGGUUGCGUAAGUCUGGCGUGAAAUUUUUCGGCUUAACCGGGAAAGGUCGUCGGAUACUGCGUAGCUAGAGGACGGUAGAGGCGUGUGGAAUUCCGGGUGUAGUGGUGAAAUGCGUAGAGAUCUGGAGGAACACCAGUGGCGAAGGCGACACGCUGGGCCGUACCUGACACUGAUGCGCGACAGCAUGGGGAGCAAACAGG
rnacentral:rRNA from 1 species